AUGCUUAACUUUAGAAGGACACAUGUCAUUUCAUCACCAUAGGACCUCUACCUAAUAUAACCUUAAGACACACUUGAGUGAGACAAGAAGUGACCGCCCACACAAUCCUCUUCAAGCACACUUAAGUGUUCCCCAAGAUUACCUUAGAUAAGGACUUUAUAGGCAAAGUGCAUAAUCAUACCCGAUAGAUAGCAUAUUAAUGAGAUGAUAUGUAUAAUGAUGCUUACAUAAAAUAAAUCAUAUUUAGUGGGGCGUAGUACAUGUGUGGUGAGUGACCAUCAAUAUAGUAUUUCCAAGGCCUACCACCCCCUUGGAGAGGCGAAAGAGGUACAAACCCCUCAAUGUGGUUACC
rnacentral:lncRNA from 1 species